rnacentral:tRNA from 1 species
UCCAAGGUAGCCUAGUGGACAUGGCACCUGCCUGGUAAGCAGAAGGUUGUGGGUUCGAUUCCCGCCCCUGGAC